rnacentral:rRNA from 1 species
GACGAACGCUGGCGGCGUGCUUAACACAUGCAAGUCGAACGGAAAGGCCCUGCUUUUGUGGGGUGCUCGAGUGGCGAACGGGUGAGUAACCCGUGAGUAACCUGCCCUUGACUUUGGGAUAACUUCAGGAAACUGGGGCUAAUACCGGAUAGGAGCUCCUGCUGCAUGGUGGGGGUUGGAAAGUUUCGGCGGUUGGGGCUGGACUCGCGGCUUAUCAGCUUGUUGGUGGGGUAGUGGCUUACCAAGGCUUUGACGGGUAGCCGGCCUGAGAGGGUGAACGGCCACAUUGGGACUGAGAUACGGCCCAGACUCCUACGGGAGGCAGCAGUGGGGAAUAUUGCACAAUGGGCGGAAGCCUGAUGCAGCAACGCCGCGUGCGGGAUGACGGCCUUCGGGUUGUAAACCGCUUUCGCCUGUGACGAAGCGUGAGUGACGGUAAUGGGUAAAGAAGCACCGGCUAACUACGUG